rnacentral:sRNA from 2 species
GGGUGCAGUCGGUAGGCGAAGCUACCACAUGGACAUGGGUUGCUGCCGCAAAGGAAUGGAGACACUCCGCGCUGGUCAGCAGUCCCCGUCGAAUCAAGGCGGGGACUAACGCAAUCCCGAACGCCAUGCGAAGCCGAAGCUUGAACGACCGGAGUCUCAA